GCUGAUAUCCCAUGCCAUUGUCCUGGGUCUGAGUGACACACAUGGAGAUGCUCCUCUUCCAGAGAGAUGGAGAGGGUGCUGAGCUGCUGGAGGGCAGCCCUGGGGCGCUGUCACCCUCUGCCACCCUCAGUCCCCCUGUGCUUUCCUCCCGGCAGCCUCCACCCCCAAAGAGACAACGGUGCCUCACAUCGUGCCGCCCGUGAGCACGGAGAAGACCACCCCGGCCACGUCUGCCAGCAGCACCUCCAGGACGUCCGUGCCCAGCGAGGCCAGCCCCGCCAGCAGCCCAGCAGUGCCAGUGGCCAGGACGUCGCCUGCCCCCAGCAGCCCUCUCAGCACCAGGCUGCCAUCUGCCGCCCCUUCCACAGCCUCCUCCCCAUCGCCCCCAAGCUCCCGGCUCAGGCCCACGCCUACGACCCUGAGGCCCAAGCCCUCUCCCCCGAGGACCAGUGCUCCCACAGAGUCCCCUGCGUCCUCCGCACCCUCCACAGCCAAAACCAGCCCGCUGCCCUCAUCUGCGUCCUCCCCGCUCUCAACUGUGUCCCCAGCAGUGCCGAGCUCCUCACAGCCAGCCUCCACCCCCAAAGAGACAACGGUGCCUCACAUCGUGCCGCCCGUGAGCACGGAGAAGACCACCCCGGCCACGUCUGCCAGCAGCACCUCCAGGACGUCCGUGCCCAGCGAGGCCAGCCCCGCCAGCAGCCCAGCAGUGCCAGUGGCCAGGACGUCGCCUGCCCCCAGCAGCCCUCUCAGCACCAGGCUGCCAUCUGCCGCCCCUUCCACAGCCUCCUCCCCAUCGCCCCCAAGCUCCCGGCUCAGGCCCACGCCUACGACCCUGAGGCCCAAGCCCUCUCCCCCGAGGACCAGUGCUCCCACAGAGUCGCCUGCGUCCUCCGCACCCUCCACAGCCAAAACCAGCCCGCUGCCCUCAUCUACGUCCUCCCCGCUCUCAACUGUGUCCUCAGCAGUGCCGAGCCCCUCACAGCCAGGUAA
rnacentral:lncRNA from 1 species